rnacentral:misc_RNA from 1 species
GGAAAAUAUAUCAUGACUUUCUCCAAAAGAGCCUCAGACCUCUCCCAUCUCUGUUCAGAAACGAUCACAGCCUUCUUCCACAACGCCACACCUAACUUUCUCUCCCAAACUAAUCUCUCAAUGCCUCACUAACGCAGCCAGCACCUCUCCUCACGCAAACUCAACCAUUGUCCAUCUAUUCACUCACAGAAGCCCCAUUUUCCCCAUUCCUCAUCCUUCACUCAUUUCCCCUUUAAUGUCCAAACUCUGAAUAAUACCCACUUGAUAUUACAGAAAACAUUUUCCCUUUUCCAGAUCGAGUUCCUCACUAGUGUACACGAAGACCCGU